CCAAGAGCUGUUGGGUCUGGCUCGGCUGCCAGACUCAACGCUAUUGGGUCCAGCUGUCCAGCCAAACCCAAUGCCCAACCAAAUCCAAUAGCGUUGGGUC
rnacentral:pre_miRNA from 13 species